ensembl:lncRNA
CUCAUCACGUCUGCACCAAGAUUACCCGGGAAUUGGGAAAUAUUAAUGGCAAAAAAGCGAAAAAGAAAUAAGGAACGAGGACGAGCGACCGAGAGUCAGCUGACGCUUUAGUUUCUACUGUUCGUUUCGUCUACGCAGAAGAAGAAAGAAGGGAAACAAAAGGCGGAGAGCACAAGGGGAAGGAGGGGUGAGGAGGUUGAGGAGGAGAAACUCAUUAGUGGAAGAGUUUAAGUGGAAUGAUGAGUAGAAGCUGGAGGGAAGGACAGGAUGAGAUAAGACAGGAUUUAGAGUGGGAGAGAGAAGGGAAGGAGGGGAGAAGUGUCACUUUAAACAUUCUUCACUGGGCACAAACCUUCAUCCCUGUUUAUAUUUAGUAGGAGGAUUCAUGCAGUGGCUGUAAAAUAUGACUUUCAGUCAUUUAACAGGGUUCCACAUUAGUUCAUUUGUAUUUUUAGAGAUAUUCCUUCUUAAAUGAGGAUUUGUCAGGACAUUUUGGACUGAACAUUUAUCAGAUGAACCAGAACUGCUGCUGGCUGUUUGGGAGCCCUCAGCGUAAUCGCCUGCUCAGGGACGCCGCCCCCUCGCGGCCCUGUGUGAGAUGCUAAAGAUAAUGGAUGGAUGGACACGUAUAGGCCCAUAAUCGACCGCCCCGCGGACGCAGCGGCCCACCGGCGACGGGGAUUUUGCGCAUUUUGCCCGCUGGGCAGUGCAUGCCGGAAAGAAUUAACAUUUUUAAAGAUACCUACAGGCGAUACACAAGAAUCAUUCCGCAGUUUCUUCUUCCUCUUCUCUGCCCGCGAUCCUGUGGCCUUUUUGGUGCAUUUCUUUCUGAAGUUGUGUAACAUUAUAAUGUCUCUCUGACAGAACUCAUUUUGUAAUGAUAAUGGUCCAAUGGCUCAAAACAUGACUGUUAUUGCUCGGGUAUAUUUUAGUUUUCUUAAAGAAACGCUGAGUCUUCCAAUAAGCCCCAAUGUGAGCUUUGCACCGGUGCGAGAAAGUUCACCCGAGCUUAAUGGCCCGACAUUCUGUUAUCUCCCACUUGACUCCGUGGUGAAGUUUUCACUGUCGUGCUCUGGCUGCAAAUAAAGCCGAGUCCAAAGAAGUCCUGAGCCUGUGUGACUACUUCUCAGAAACCUCCCUCUCUCUGAACACACACACACACACACACACACACACACACACACACACACACACACACCUGGCUUCUCAGAGACCCGUCAAUGUCGUCCCAUGGGGCUUUGCAAGAAGGAUGAUGUGAUUUUCUCAGCUUCCUCAAAUACCACACGCACAUUUUCAAACACACACACACACACACACACAAGCAAACACAUGGAUGGACCAAUGAAAGUAGCCUCAUCAUCCCUCUUGGAGGCGAAUAUGUGUGUGUGUGUGUGUGUGUGUGUGUCCUGCGCCCUGAGACUCGGCGCUGCAGGCUGUCUCAGUACUGUGGGAAUCAAUCAUGAUUCUUUUUACGUAAUUAUGAUUCCGGCAUGUUAACUGUGUGCAUGCGUGCGUGUGUGUCCACGUGUUUGCGUAACUAAAUCCCUCAUCUCCACUUGUCCCACUUGGCUUGCACACCUAAAGAAUAAUAUGCAUGAAAAAUCACACAUAGCCCACUUUUCCCUCAAACAUUUGACUUUAAUGUUGGCACAUCCUCAGAAAGCAUCAUUACGUUUGUGAUGUACGGCAAUCAUGUUACUGCCUUUUCAUGCCCGGGGGGGCCUUGUUUAUCAAAUUCAGAUGUAAGUGCCAUGAAAAUCCCGCUUUCUGACACGCAUGCCGCCCCGCUGCUGCUGCUGCAGCUGUGUGUGCUUUGUUUGUGGGAUUAAUGCUCGACGCUGAGCUUCAAUGCGGUGAUUACUUACUGUGAGUACUCAACCCCGUCUUCCCUCUUUCACUGAGCUCACUGAUUUCACACCUUCUACCAGCAUUACGUCAACGCAUAUUUAAUGCUUUUCCGCCUGAGGUCAGUUGAUUUUAACAGUCCUCCCUCGCGCUGUAGGACUAUUUAUUAGUUUAUAUUGCUGCUGCAUCGCUACGCAGUAAGAAAGGUCCGUCUGACUUGGCUUUUUGGGUGUCUCGAGCACCAGGAGGCCGAGUAGCAUCUACUUCAAGGCGUGUUUGGAAUCACUUGGUGAUCGGUUGUGUCAGUGACAUAAAGGUUUAAGCUGCAGAAAUAGAACGUAGGCUACAAGCAGGACCCAGCCCCUUAUCCAAAGUCAUUUAUUCCAACAAGCACUGCAAUGGAUUGAGGGGGGGGGGGCAGAGAAAGUGACCGUCGGCAGGUAGCAAUUACACACACACACACACACACACAAAGUUUCCAGCCAGGGCGAUUCUCAGCAUCCCUCCAUAAUUAUGUUGAGCUGUUGCCCAAAUACGUAUCGAUCGCCGCGGAGCCUCGAGUGAACCUGCCAACGCACACGGCGCCCUGUGCGGGUCUCGCUGCAGUGAGACGGGUCGGAGGGACACGGGGGGAUGGUGAUGAAGAGGACAAAAAAAGAGCAAUAGGGGGGGAAAAAACGAAAAAAAAAGGAGGGAGAGUGAUGCGGCCGUGAGGGAAGAGAGGGAAAGAUGAUGAGAGAGACAAGUCGACAUGUCUUCUUUGUACCAAUGGAGGACCGCUGAUGUUUAGAUGAUGAGCUAAUGAUCAAUUAUUUAUGAAUUAGAGUUAAGACCAAUUAGCUGCAGAGUUCAUAUUACUUUGUGUAGACACAUUUUUCAACAGUGACUUGAUUCAUUUAUUUAAUGUCAUUUUAGUUCUACUUUGUCGAGAUAAUAUUUUUUUACUUACCUAUUUUUUUACUUUCCUUUCAAAACAUUUUUCAACCAAUAUGUUGACCUUUUCUUUCCAUUACCCUUUUUCAAGUUAACAGUUUUUGACUCUUUUUCAAAACAUUUUUCAACAGAAUCUUUUUAUUACAUAUUUUAAGCUUAUUUUUUUUUCCAAAAAAAACAUUUAACAUUUUUUGACUUCUUCAAAAACAUCCUUCAAAUGACUUCUACGCGACAUUCUUUUAGCUACAUUCUUUCUUUAACAGUCUUUUCAAAACACGUUUGAUGUUUUUUGAUGAAACACCAAUAAUCUUGUUCUUAUUUUGACAUGUACAGCUUACGGUUUGUAAUGUAGUUUCAUAAAUAUUACAAAGCGGGCCAGAUAACGCUGUAAUGUUAUUAGAAAAACUGUCUCUGGAUGUGAUAAACCACAACUGAAAUCUGAAUUUGUUGUGCUACAGGACAAUGCUUUAUUGUGCCAUAAUAGGCUUCAUUUGGUUUUACUGUUAUUAAAAGUUCAAGGCAGGUUUGCCUGAACCGAUUACAGAGAAAAACAAACGGAGGGAGGAGCGAUGUGGAGGGGAUGUUGGAGAGAGAUCUGGUCAUUUGCAGUGGAAAAAAAGACCCCCUUCCGCCCACCUGCCCCCCGAGUGUUGAAAACACCAACACAGCAAUGCAAAGCUGCUUAAUAGCACAACAAUGGGGGCGAGUUGGCUGGUGGCUGCUGUGCACAGACAAAGCGAUCUCUUCUUACUCUUUACCCGCAAAUACCUGUGGCCGAAUGAAUGUACAAGACAGCUACGAGACCCACGGAUGCUGGAAGCGGUUCCCACGGCAACGGAAUUUAAACAAGAACCUUCUUGUCAGGGUUCCUCUCAGAAUCGAUAGAAGGUCAAACAUUUUGGGGAUACGCCACAAUGCCACAAUGUGGGUUUUCUAGGCCGUCCAAUGUAGGGUUCCGAGUGGAACGUUUCACCUUUAUAAAAGGUUCUAGACACUAAAAAGAUCCCUCCUCAAAGCACAAGCCAAAGAACCCUUUGUGGUUGCAGGUAGGACCUUUAUUUCUUUGUGCUUUCAGUAAAACUUUGAUGGGCAUACAAAAUAAAUCCUUCCUGUGUGUCUUUCUCCUUCUAUACCUAAUAGAAAAAUAAGAUCCAUGACUGCCUCAGCGCUACUGGACCUUUUAAUGGGCGGUCCACUCGUGUGUGUGUGUGUGGUUUGCCGCUGGUUGUACCAGUGGGGAUGUUCUACAGUCAUCGAUCUAUCGCUAAUCGAUUCUUGGCAGGCAGCUCAUGGGCAUCGGCAACCCGUCUGUCCCGCUCUCCUGUCUCCUCCCUCUGCCACUGUAUUCUGGGCAUCAGUUUUUUUUUUUUUCGUCGGGGUCCGUGUGGUGCUUCAGAAAUUGGACCCAGUUGCUGCCUCAGCACUUCUCUGGCCAGCAGCUGCUACUAAAAAGAAACGAGGGAGUGACAGAAAAUGAUUAACUGCGGAGCAGUUAGAGAGAGAGAGAGGGCGAGAGUGACUGAGGAGACCUUUGGUGGCCGUGUGAGUUAUGUCAGGUGUCUUCCAGAAGCCACGGUAGAAGUAUCAUUAUGUUUACAACACGGAAGACGCUCAUGUGGAGAAGGUCAACGUGGUGCAGCCUGCCAAGCGUGAGAACCUGGACAGAGACGGCUGAGGAGAGAAGGGAGGGAAGCGGUGGGGGGAGGCAGGGAGGGAGGGAGAUUGAGCAGCAGAGGUAAAAAGAGGGCGUCGGGGAGAGUGCAGCUUAGUAAAAGCUGCUCUCAUCCUUUGAAUGGAGCGUGUGAUGGAAGGUGAUACUCUAAUAGGAUAAAGGGCCGACAGAUAAAGAGAUCAGCUCUCAGUCGGCCAUCAGGUCCUGACGCAGGGCCCGUCAGAUAAAACCUCUGCUUCAUUCAGAGUCCUUUCAGGGGGGGGGGGGGGGUCUGGUGCCCCGCCAUGCUAAUCGGAGUACCUGACAGAGGGAUGGAAUAUGACCAGAUCCUAUUAUUCUGAAGAUAUAAACACAUUAGGUAAAAGCAGAUAUCCAUUAAAGUGACUUCAUUUAGUCAUCGGCUGGUUAUGCUCUAAUGUGUAAUCCAUGAAUGGCCAAAGCUGCCUUACCAGCUCAAAAUAGAAAUUGAAACAAUCCGACGGUGUGAUAGUAAAACAUGAAAGUAGAAUACCGUUAUUUUCAUUGGGUGCUACAUGGAGAAUGCAGUACACACUUUCUUGCAGAUGAGAAACCUGCAUGUCAUGUGUCUGAUAAAAUGCGAGUAGUCAACCCUUCUCUAGCGUAAAUAAGACAAAGCGUUGACUGGAAAGAUGUGGGUGUACACUACGUGCUUUGUCUUUGAAAGGAAUGCUGUGAAACCUGGACUAUUGGCUUCCAGCUCACACAUCUUGUGUCCUUCCACUAAUUAAAAGGUCCUAAACACACCUCAAUUUAAGCUUGUUCAUCUUCUUAAUGUUUGCAAAACCCUAAAAACCACGGCAAUAGAUUAGGGCUGUCAAUAGAUAUUUAAAAAAUGUACUAAUUAAUCGCACAUUUCGAAAUUCAUUAAGCGCGAUUAAUCGUGUUAAUUGCGUUAAAAUAUUUUAAUCUCAGCCAUUGAUCGCAUAAAUGAACGUGUUGAUAGCCCUACUAUGGAUACAUUCUUGUGAACGAAAUGCCUUUGUAACAAACACUUCAUUGAAGUCGUUUUCUCGCGAUCUGCAUGACCUCUGGAUACUUUUAUUUAUUCAGAAAAGAUUUUCUGUGCACACCACACUGUCUUCACAUUAAUUCUGCUCUCUUCUCAAAGAGUGACAAACAUUUCUAACCCUGGGACCUCAGCAUUUACAGUUAUACUACUAAAUAUUAUAUUUGACAUUUGACUAAUGGAUAUAGUUUGCAUGCACACAUUCUCUUUUCCCAUAUUCCGUUCCCUUUUCAAAAAUACGCCUAAGUAAGUGUUUCUGUGGAUGUGGAAAAGUAGAAAGAUGAAAAGACACCGUUGAGAUGGUUCUUAAACCACAUAAAAGCAGUGCAGGGUGGCUGACAUCAGCAGACGGCUUGGUGAAGAGAUGGAUAAAUAGGACGGAUUAAUCAGUCACCGGCUGACAGGUGCAGCCUGCAGAACAAAAAGGAAGUGAAAACAAACCCGGGGAAGAAAAAUUGGAGCGAGACAAAGCGGGACGACAAAAAAAAAAAAAAAGAGGAGAGUUUAAAAAAACAAAAGCAGUAUGAUGAAAGAAAUAAUUCAUCGUUGAAAGUGAGAGAAAAGAGAUCGAGCGAGGGGGGAGGGGUGGUGGGCGAUGGGCGAAGUUUUCAUUGUGUCUACGACUGAAAUUGCACCACACAAGCAAGGAGGCUGUAACAGGACAAAGACGGUGCUGCGCGGAGGGGACGGGGCAACGUAGGAAUGGACAAAGACAAAGGGGCGAACGAGAGGGACGUCUGCUGUUAGACACCACGGACCCAGGACACAAGAGGCGAGGACGGCAGCGCGUUUGAAAAAGGUUCCCCGCUGGAACACGAAGGAAGGGGAGAAGGUGCGGCGUUGCCAAAAGCGACUGCGGGGGCCACAGUCGCUGACAACACAGAUGAUGCGGUUCAUUCUCACAGUAACAAACCUACUCAGACACGUCGUGAACAACAAGCCACUCAGCUGCCUUUGAUUAAAGCAGACGGCUUUGCACCAAACCUCAACGCAGGCCGUCUUCUGCAACUUACAUCCCCGCCGUAGUUACUGCACACGUGUGGUGAAGCAGGUGAAGCCACCAGAACGCAUUGGCUAACUUCAAGUCUCUAUUUUUAGGACUGGCGAGGUCAUAAUCAUCUUCUGGACCCCCCAGUUUUACUCGUGUCUGACAUUUUAGGCCUUUUAUGGACUGCAAAUGAACCACGUGUGAGGUCAUUAAAAUCCUGCAACCAGACUCUCUUCCAGUAAUGAAUGACCUCCAUGUAAAAACAAACGCUCAAUCAAGGGACUGUUGGAUAUCCUGUUAAUAGUUGAUCAUGCAGUUUUAAUUGAAUGCCCCGAGUGAGCAGCUCUGACUGAGAGCUCAGCUGGAUCAGAUUCCUGUUUGUCUUGAUAGGGAGUCCAUCUCCUUCACCGUGGGGUUCCACAGGGCUCCGGCCCGGAGCUCUUCUUCUUCUUUGAGCUCUACGUGUGCCUGUUGUCGGCGGUUUAAAAUAAAAUGAGAAAAACCGCAGCUUCAAACUAAGAGAGAUAUUAGAAAUCACACAGGAACAUUUUGCACAGUGGUGGGUAACCAUGUCCUGUGAAUAGUGCGUUAACAUCCCCUUCCCUUUGCAUGUAAGCUUCCCUCCGCGUUGCAUGUGUGGCGUGGAGGGUAGACGCCGUGCACACAUGCACACUAACACACACAAAUACAGGAAUGUGUGAAGCAAAGCUAAAAAAACAGUAGCCUAUAGUUUUAGAAUUGGCUGUAAUGUGCACCAUAUAAUGUGUGUGCUUUCAUAUUCUAAUUCAAAUGCCUCGUUUUUUCCCUCUUACACACAAACGCGUACAUGCACAUACACACAUACACACACGUUGCUGUGCUACAUUGUUAAAUUGCAUGGUUGCAUUUUUAUGUUACAUUAUUAUGUAUGUUUGAACAGUAACCAUGAUGUUUUACAACAUUAACCCAGUAGUUUGUUUCUACUAAACCUAAUGAAUUGUUUCACGAUAUUAACCGGACGGCAUUCAGCAUUUGUGCAGGACUAAAUCGAGGGUGUGUGAUGUAGAUACAGUGCUAUUAAUAUGCUCAAGGGUCCUGUGAGAAAUGGACCCCAGACCUUUUAAAAGCUGUGCAGCAGUUGACCAGCAGCCACUUUAACUUUAACUAACCAGAGAGUGACUUUCUGAAUAUGUAUAUAUAUACAUUGACUCACUUAUAGGUCAUCAUGUACUCAGAAUGCUGAAAAUAAGGACAACUAUACUUCAUUUUAAUGAACACCAUUAUUCAAACGAGCAGCGCGAGGCAGGGAUGAGCGCGGAGAAAUGAAAGUGAAGGAAAAAAGGGGCGAAGGGAUGACAGAGAAAUAUUUCCCCCCCUUCGGCUGAUGCUGCAGCACAUUUGUGAGCCGUAAUGUCUUUCAUUUGCAAACUGGGGCAACUGUUCCUCUCCCCGGCGCACCGCACGCGUCUCCUCCUCAUUUCCCUCCACGCGCAUCUCGGUCCCCCGGAUCUCUCGUGCUGUCCCCCCGGACACGGAGUGCGCGUGCGUCUAGGAAAACAGCAAGAUGCACGAACACGCGAACACACGCAUGUAUCCGCGUGUUCGUUAGUAAUCCUGCAGUCCGCAGGGGGGGGGGGGGGGUGAUGAAAAGAUAAAAGCUCCCCGAGCCAAUCACAGACGUAUCACUUAACCGGCUCAGCCAAUCACACGCUGAUCGCAUCACCGACAUGAAGAAAACGCAACAGACGCAGCGGAGGUGUGAGGAGAGAACAGCUGACGAGGAGAAGGGGGGGAGGGAGGAGACAGUGAAGGAGGCUCGGAGAGGAGACGACAAAGAGGGGUUCGCGGGACUGAAAUAGACCAAGUCAAAUGAGGAAACGAACAACCCGUUUUGGGCACUACCGGAAGUGUGCGCGCGCGUGUGGCUGCGUGCUGUUAAAUGUUUCCCUGCAUGUGUGUGUGUGUGUGUGCACAUUCUGCAGAUAUGAGCGUGUGCGUGUGUCCGUUUACCUCCAAAGCGGAUUUGAAACUUAAGGGGCUACAAAGUGGGUCACGGCUGCGUCUCCGCUUCCUUCGUCACCAGCGCCUCCGACUUUGAGCGGAGAUCUCACGCGCCCGUGACGGCGCGCCCGCACGCACACACACACACACACACAUAGGGACACACACUUUCCCACACGUGAACACCUUCCUGCGAGUGACACAGAAUCCUCGUCAUUGACCCACAUUCCAGUGGAGAAGUGGAUUUUUUUGGGGGGGGGGGCGUCCGCGCGCGCGCGCUCGUGACCCGGUUGAGUCGCUCCCGCAGAUGCUUCUCCGCGCUCACGACUCGAGUCACAAAGUAUUACCGUCCUCUUACGAGAGGCCUCAGCGCGGGGGGGGGGGUGUGUGUGGGGGGGUCGUCAGCCUCCAACCAGCGUCACGAGGUGACUCAUUUCACUUCCCUGUAAUUAAACGGGUGUUUCUUUUGUGCUCGUCGUUUUCUUCGUUCAUCCGGAGAAGAAUCCAAUCAGGACGAAAGGUCAGUCGUCCUGACGCGCCGAGCCGACCGCGCAAAGGCGAUCGAUUCGAACGCUUUGCGUCUCCUCCCGUCGCCAGACGCCGUCCGUCAGGUGUCUCCAGCAACACGUUGCCAUGGCUACCGCCGAGCGUGAGUCCGCAGGACGUCUUCUGUGCUCAACUCAGGGUUGCUGCAACAUAAAAACGCAGUGGGCAUUUUUUUUUUUAUGAAAGGAAAGCUUCUGUCUUUUGAAAUAAAAAAAAAUACAAAUGAAGGAUUUAACGGAUUGUCUGAAACUACUGAUUCAACCGGCCGAUCCUGCGCUCCAUCCUUCACCUCCACCCGCCUUCAGGGGUGGCUUCAUUGUUAACGCAGAUGAUUGUUUCUGUAUCACUUGAGUUCUAGUAUAUUACCAUCUUCUCUUCUUGUUUCCUUUCCUUCCUCCUUCCCCUCCUCCCAUCGCUCCCUUCCCGUGUUGUAUUCGAUCCUCCUCUUCAAUCUCUUCCACUCUUCAUCUCACGUUUUCCCAGAAAUGUAAGUGACCCAUUUGUGA